GCCAAAUAUAAUCUGAUGAGGUGCACAAAAAAUCACCUCUUCUUAAGGUGGCAUCCCAUAAAGAGUUUGGAUGAUUUGGUUCAGAUUCAAACAGGCUUUGAUCUUAUCACGAAUUCAAAUCAGAUUUGAAUUCUUUUUCAAACCAAACUUAAUCCACAACUAAGGGACUCAGAAAGGGGUGUGACAAACCUCAAAUUGAUGCAAAAAACCCAUGCAAAAAAUCAUGUUGCACAUAAGAAAGAAGGCUGGUUGGUGGC
rnacentral:lncRNA from 1 species